AUUCUCUUCUGUUUUUGUAGACUUGUAUGUUUUGAUAAAAUUGCAUGAAUAAGUAUCAACGUUAAGAAAAGUUUGGAGUGCCUGAAAAAGAAUCAGCUGCCGUCGACGCCGCGGGAUCAGGACCUGGCCCACGAGCCAGGGGAAGGCGGGCCCGUGCGGCCCCCAGGUCUCGCCGUCCGCGAGUUCCUCGUGGCAGCGGGCGCGGUAGGCGCGCAGCAGCGCCAGGCACCAGUCCUCGUCCACGCGGUAGCGCGCGUAGAAGGCGGCCUCCUGGGCCAGGCUGCCCACGCGCAGCCAGCGGGUCACGGCCGCGCGGCCCUCGCGCGCCAUCACGGCCGGGUAGCGGUGCUGCAGCAGCCGGAGCAGCAGCUCGUUGCCACGGUUGCCCUGCACGUCGCCCGGCGCUGGCGGCGGCGGCAGGCGGCCCGCGGUGCUGACCACGUCGUCCUGCGUGCGCCGCAGCAGCAGCACGGGCCCCGGGUAGCAGCACAGCUGCUCGGCCACGUUGAGGUUGAAGUGCUCGCGCACCGUGCGCACCACCAGCCCCUUCCAGCUGUGCGGCAUGACCUUGAGCGCCAGCGGCACCAGGUCGUCGAAGGUGGCGUCCAGCACCAGCGCGCCCAGCUCCGGGCCACCAGCUUCGCGCGCCGGCCACGGUAGCGCUCCACCAGGCGCUCCUGGCCCUGCUGCAACAGCGGCAGCAGCGCGCGCGUCAUCAAGGACAUGGAGCCGGGGUACACGAGCCAGCGGCCCAGUGAGUGCGCCAGCGCGUAGAAUGCGCCAGCUGGCCCGGCAGCUCGCGGAUCUGCUGCAGCAGGCA
rnacentral:lncRNA from 1 species